rnacentral:rRNA from 1 species
ACCGGCAAACGGGUGCGGAACACGUACACAACCUUCCUAUAAGUGGGGAAUAGCCCAGAGAAAUUUGGAUUAAUACCCCGUAACAUAACGAUGUGGCAUCACAUUGUUAUUAUAGCUUCGGCGCUUAUUGAUGGGUGUGCGGCUGAUUAGAUAGUUGGCGGGGUAACGGCCCACCAAGUCUACGAUCAGUAGCUGAUGUGAGAGCAUGAUCAGCCACACGGGCACUGAGACACGGGCCCGACUCCUACGGGAGGCAGCAGUAAGGAAUAUUGGUCAAUGGACGCAAGUCUGAACCAGCCAUGCCGCGUGAAGGAUUAAGGUCCUCUGGAUUGUAAACUUCUUUUAUCUGGGACGAAAAAAGGCUUUUCUAAGUCACUUGACGGUACCAGAUGAAUAAGCACCGGCUAACUCCGUGCCAGCAGCCGCGGUAAUACGGAGGGUGCAAGCGUUAUCCGGAUUCACUGGGUUUAAAGGGUGCGUAGGCGGGCAGGUAAGUCAGUGGUGAAAUCCUGGAGCUUAACUCCAGAACUGCCAUUGAUACUAUCUGUCUUGAAUAUUGUGGAGGUAAGCGGAAUAUGUCAUGUAGCGGUGAAAUGCUUAGAUAUGACAUAGAACACCUAUUGCGAAGGCAGCUUACUACGCAUAUAUUGACGCUGAGGCACGAAAGCGUGGGGAUCAAACAGGAUUAGAUACCCUGGUAGUCCACGCCCUAAACGAUGGAUACUCGACAUACGCG